AUGACCAUGACAAUACUAGCUUCCCACUCUCCGAUUUCGGUCUUGGGGAUAUGGAGUAUAAUGUCUACCCUAGUAGCACUGAUCCCACUACCAUGCCCCCACCUGAGCAACAUGCCUAUACCAUGCCCCCAACCCGAGCAACAUGCCUAUACCAAUCAUCCCACUCUCAAACCCAAUACCAAUCCCAGUACCGAAGCCGAAGGUCACACCAAUUCGAGCAGUGGGACGGGUUCCUCCACCACCAUGGGUGUAAAGCAAAGAGGUCGUCGUAGAACCUCCACGGUGUGGGAAUUCGAUGAAGAAAUAUCUGUGGUGGACAGUGUCCGGAAGGUGGUUGCAAGGUGCAAAAGGUGCAAGAAGGAGUAUACCGGAGAAGCCAAGGCAGGAACCGACCACCUGAAGAGGCAUGUGGAAAGCCACGCCAAGGCGGAUGCAAUGAGAGCAUCAAGCUCGGCAGUUGUGCAAAUGCAGCUCUCCUUCAACCCUGACGGUACGUUACUUUGUCUGGGUUUAUUACCCGACAUCUCCUUUGAUGGUGCAUACCCUCAAAUUCCACUGUUGUAUGCAUUUGCAUUUAUCUUGGAUCCUAGAGCUAAACUUGAAGGGUAUCAUAGUGCACUCAAUGUACUAUCUGCGUCCCUAAGUUUAGAUUAUACUGACGACUUCAAUAAGGCUCGUGAGAAGCCUUUUGAAGUUUUUGCUAAGUAUGAGGAAAAAUAUGCCGGAGUUCGAAUGCAACGACCUCCACCAACACCUACUGCAGGUAAAAAGAGAGGAGCAUGGAGCAAGAUCUUUGGUUCUUCGUCCUCCUCGACCACCGAAAGCUCUUCCAUCGUCAACAUAUGUGCUUCAAGGUGGCGGGGAGUUAGCGAAUGGUGGCAAGAACACAAGCUUACAUUUCCGGUGCUCUCCAUAUUAGCACGUGAUGUGUUAUUGGUGCCUGUCUCUACGGUGUCAUCGGAGUCUGCUUUUAGCCUUGCCGGAAGGAUAGUUGAGGAGAGAAGAACUAGUCUCGCCCCUGAUAUGGUGAGAACACUGAUGUCCGUCAAAAGAUGGGGAGUUCUCAAGAAGGAGAGCGCAACACACUGCAGAAAACAUAGAACUACUAGCCAUGUUUGA
rnacentral:rRNA from 1 species